rnacentral:sRNA from 1 species
AAAAGUAUGCUUGUUUAAAUGUUGCUUGUUGAUUAUCCCACUCAUAGGUAGUUUAUUGAAUUUAAGUAUGGUAAUUGUCUGUUUUAUAAAAUUCCUGGCCUCGGGAUCAUGAAGCAAUUUCAGACUUGCGUCAAAAAUUCAGUCGGUUUUAAGAUGAUUCUUAUCAUAGUUUAUAUGAUGAAGACACCUUUCAUUUUAAUUUAGUCAGUGUUUUCAAUCAAGAAAUAUUGAGGCAGUGAACAAUUUUUGACUUAAGACUCAUAUUGCUUCAUGAUCCUUCAUUUUGUUUCUAUAUUUAAAAGUUUGUUUGAAAAUAAGGAACGUUUUGUAUAAUUUUUCUGUCUCCCUUUUUCGGAUCUCAUUCAAGAAGUUGAGAAAUGUCCAUUGUGUCGAGUGACUGUGGUACUGUGUGGUACUAUGUGGUACUAUCUGUGGUACUAUGUGGUUCUAUCUGUGGUACUAUUUGGUUCUAUGUGUGGUACUAUGUGACUGCUUGAUCUGUAUAAAACCUGUCAGUAUUGGUCUACUUACAUGUAACUACAUGCUAGCCAAUAAAACAACACAUACGUG